AUUGAACGCUGGCGGCAUGCCUUACACAUGCAAGUCGAACGGUAACAGGUUAAGCUGCCGAGUGGCGAACGGGUGAGUAAUGUAUCGGAACGUGCCCAGUCGUGGGGGAUAACUGCUCGAAAGAGCAGCUAAUACCGCAUACGACCUGAGGGUGAAAGCGGGGGAUCGCAAGCCCUCGCGCGAUUGGAGCGGCCGAUAUCAGAUUAGGUAGUUGGUGAGGUAAAGGCUCACCAAGCCGACGAUCUGUAGCUGGUCUGAGAGGACGACCAGCCACACUGGGACUGAGACACGGCCCAGACUCCUACGGGAGGCAGCAGUGGGGAAUUUUGGAUAAUGGGCGCAAGCCUGAUCCAGCCAUGCCGCGGGCGGGAAGAAGGCCUUCGGGUUGUAAACCGCUUUUGUCAGGGAAGAAAAGGUUCUGGCUAAUACCUGGGACUCAGGACGGUACCUGAAGAAUAAGCACCGGCUAACUACGU
rnacentral:rRNA from 1 species